UACAGAGGUCUCAAGCGUUGUUCGGAUUCAUUGGGCGUAAAGGGUGCGUAGGCGGCGCGGUAAGUCGGGUGUGAAAAUCUCGGAGCUUAACUCCGAAACUGCAUUCGAUACUGCCGUGCUUGAGGACUGGAGAGGAGACUGGAAAUUCAUGGUGUAGCAGUGAAAAUGCGUAGAGAUCAUGAGGAAGACCAGUGGCGAAGGCGGGGUCUCUGGACAGUUCCUGACACUGAGACACGAAGGCCAGGGGAGCAAACGGG
rnacentral:rRNA from 1 species